GGCCGAAUCGUCAAGUGGUAUGAUGCUUCCUUCGGGAUUACUCCCAGUCAGUAUGACUCUCAUGGAAGAGGUCCCGGGUUCGAAUCCCGGUUCGGUCC
rfam:Coniochaeta ligniaria NRRL 30616 unplaced genomic scaffold CONLIGscaffold_8, whole genome shotgun sequence.